CCCCUGCCUGCUAAAUAGUUGGGCGAAUGAAUGUUCAUUGGCCGCAGCUUCUUAGAGGGACGUGCGUUCUAUUAGACGCAGGAAGAUAGGGGCAAUAACAGGUCUGUGAUGCCCUUAGAUGUCCUGGGCCGCACGCGCGUUACACUGAUGCACUCAACGAGUCUGCCUUGGCCGAGAGGCCUGGGAAAUCUUGUUAACAUGCAUCGUGAUAGGGAUAGAUUAUUGCAAUUAUUAAUCUUGAACGAGGAAUUCCUAGUAAACGCAGAUCAUCAAUCUGCAUUGAUUACGUCCCUGCCCUUUGUACACACCGCCCGUCGCACCUACCGAUUGAAUGGUCCGGUGAAGCCUCGGGAUUGCGAUGAGUUUCCUUCAUUGGGAGUUCGUCGCGAGAACCUGUCUAAACCUUAUCAUUUAGAGGAAGGUGAAGUCGUAACAAGGUUUC
rnacentral:rRNA from 1 species